rnacentral:rRNA from 1 species
AUGGCAUUCAACUCAAACCAUCAUGCUUAUGUGAGCAAUAGCACGGAAAGUGUUCAAGACUUGAUAAGUAAAAUUUCCUAUCAGUUAGAUGAUUUAGCUCGGCAGCGAGGUAUAGUUUUUGAGGAUAUGCCUAGCUCUUAUGAUGCUUAUUCUAGAGGCCAUCCUUAUGUUGCUCCUACAUGCCAUAUUUGUGGAUUUCAGGGCCAUUCACCCGCUGAAUGUCAACGUGGUUACUCUCAUCCUCCGGAUUGUUUUGCUAUGAACUUUGCUCAACAGCAUGGCUCAUGCCAAAACAAUUACUCAUAUGGGUGGCCUGAAAACCCGAAUAUGUCAUAUAGGAGCAACAACCCUGAGAUCUCAUCAUUUGCUUCUAGUAAUCAUAUGCAGGGAUUUAGGUAUGAAGAGGAGAGCCACAACCAUGCACCACAAUAG